UAGGGAAUCUUCCGCAAUGGACGAAAGUCUGACGGAGCAACGCCGCGUGAGUGAAGAAGGAUUUCGGUUCGUAAAACUCUGUUGUUAGGGAAGAAAAAAUGUAUAGUAACUAUAUACAAAAGAGACGGUACCUAACCAGAAAGCCACGGCUAACUACGUGCCAGCAGCCGCGGUAAUACGUAGGUGGCAAGCGUUGUCCGGAAUUAUUGGGCGUAAAGCGCGCGCAGGUGGUUUAGAAAGUCUGAUGUGAAAGCCCACGGCUCAACCGUGGGGGGUCAUUGGAAACUAAUAAACUUGAGUGCAGGAGAGAAAAGUGGAAUUCCUAGUGUAGCUGUGAAAUGCGUAGAGAUUAGGAGGAACACCGGUGGCGAAAGCGGCUUUUUGGCCUGCAACUGACACUGAGGCGCGAAAGCGUGGGGAGCAAACAGG
rnacentral:rRNA from 1 species